UACGGAGGGUGCAAGCGUUAAUCGGAAUUACUGGGCGUAAAGCGCACGUAGGCGGUUCGUUAAGUCGGAUGUGAAAUCCCCGGGCUCAACCUGGGACCUGCAUUCGAUACUGGCGAACUUGAGUAUGAUAGAGGGGGGUGGAAUUCCAGGUGUAGCGGUGAAAUGCGUAGAUAUGUGGAGGAACACCGAUGGCGAAGGCAGCCCCCUGGGUCGACACUGACGCUCAGGCACGAAAGCGUGGGGAGCAAACAGGAUUAGAAACCCUGGUAGU
rnacentral:rRNA from 1 species